rnacentral:tRNA from 1 species
GAGUGCGCAGCUAUGAGGCCUUAGUUUUGCAAAAGCUACAGAGAAGCGUUAAGCUUCCGCACUUU